rnacentral:rRNA from 1 species
UACGUAGGGUGCGAGCGUUAAUCGGAAUUACUGGGCGUAAAGCGUGCGCAGGCGGAUUGUUAAGCAAGAUGUGAAAUCCCCGGGCUUAACCUGGGAAUGGCAUUUUGAACUGGCAGUCUAGAGUGCGUCAGAGGGGGGUGGAAUUCCACGUGUAGCAGUGAAAUGCGUAGAGAUGUGGAGGAACACCAAUGGCGAAGGCAGCCCCCUGGGAUGACACUGACGCUCAUGUACGAAAGCGUGGGUAGCAAAC